AUUGAACGCUGGCGGCAGGCCUAACACAUGCAAGUCGAACGGUAACAGGAAGCAGCUUGCUGCUUUGCUGACGAGUGGCGGACGGGUGAGUAAUGUCUGGGAAACUGCCCGAUGGAGGGGGAUAACUACUGGAAACGGUAGCUAAUACCGCAUAACGUCGCAAGACCAAAGAGGGGGACCUUAGGGCCUCUUGCCAUCGGAUGUGCCCAGAUGGGAUUAGCUAGUAGGUGGGGUAACGGCUCACCUAGGCGACGAUCCCUAGCUGGUCUGAGAGGAUGACCAGCCACACUAGAACUUAGACACGGUCCAGACUCCUACGGGAGGCAGCAGAGGGGUAUAUUGCACAAUAGGCGCAAGCCUGGUGCAGCCAUGCGGGGUGUAUGAAGAAGGCCUUCGGGUUGUAAAGUACUUUCAGCGGGGAGGAAGGGAGUAAAGUUGAUACCUUUGCUCAUUGACGUUACCCGCAGAAGAAGCACCGGCUAACUCCGUG
rnacentral:rRNA from 1 species